rfam:Schistosoma mansoni strain Puerto Rico chromosome 3, complete genome
AUCCAAUUGACAAGUCCUAAACAGGACGAGAUGACCAUCCUGGAU